AUCUGUGCAAGCAUCUUGACGAACUGUUUCAGCAAAACAUCCAUUUGACAACAAAGACACUAUGGCAGCAUUAGAUGGGUUUCCAGCCAGUUUCUAUGCUGAACCAGGAGUGUUGGGCAUUUUAGCCAAUGGGAUCAGUGCAUUCCUCGUACUUCUGCAGAACUUCAAUGAAGCGCAUACUGGCAUUGCACCAGUAGGAGUGGAGAACAUCCUUGCAGGUGUCCAUCUCAUCCUAAUUGGUGGUAUAUGCCAACUGGUGGCUGGACUGCUUUCCUUCAGAAAAUAUGAUCAUCUGAGUGGCACUGCCUUCAUUGGCUAUGCUGCUCUUUGGAGCAGUUAUGGUGCCACUCGAAUCUACUUUGGUGCCUUUGAUGAAACUCCUUUAACAGUAUCUCUAGCAGAUCAAAUGGUGAACAACAUUACCUUGUCCACCAAUGUGACGAACAACUCCUGUCUGAAUGCUACCUCAGAGGCUUGCCACUUAUUUCUGUCCAUAAAAGAGUCAGCGAUUGCUGGUCUGGUCCCCUAUAUCCUUCUGUCGUUCCUCCUAGCCUUCUGCUCUGCCACAGUCAACUACAUCAUGCCUUUUGUUUUUGGGGCCAUCACAGCCACCUUAA